AUGGAGUUGUGCAUGAUGUGGAUUUUCCUUGCUGCAUUUUUGAAAGGUGUCCAGUGUGAGGUGCAGAUCUUGGAGUCAGGGGGAGGAUUGGUGCAGCCUGGGAAUUCUCUAAAACUUUCCUGUGCCACCUCAGGAUUCACAUUCAGUACCACCUGGAUGUACUGGUAUCGACAGUUUCCAGAGAAGCGACUAGAGUGGGUAGCUCGAAUUAAAGACAAAUCUAACAAUUAUGCAACUGACUACACAGAGUCUGUGAAAGGAAGAUUCACCAUCUCAAGAGAUGAUUCCAAAAGCAGCGUUUACCUGCAGAUGAACAACUUAAAAGAGGAAGACACUGCCAUUUAUUACUGUGCUAGGUCGGCACAGUGA